rnacentral:tRNA from 1 species
UGGGCGCGGGCGUCGAGGAGCACUCGCGCUUCUUCGAGGAGCGCUGGCAGCGGCUGUUCCGUUCGCUGUACCCGA